rnacentral:rRNA from 1 species
CGGAGAGGGAGCCUGAAAAACGGCUACCACAUCCAAGGAAGGCAGCAGGCGCGUAAAUUACCCAAUCCUGAUACAGGGAGGUAGUGACAAUAAAUAACAAUGCCGGGCCAUCAUUGGUCUGGCAAUUGGAAUGAGAACAAUUUAAAUCCCUUAUCGAGGAUCAAUUGGAGGGCAAGUCUGGUGCCACCAGCCCGCGGUAAUUCCAGCUCCAAUAGCGUAUAUUAAAGUUGUUGCAGUUAAAAAGCUCGUAGUUGGAUUUGUGGCGUACGGUGUGUUCCGGGCACUYGUUGUCUGAGUAACCUGCCGUUGCCAUCCUUGGGUGGAACCUGUGUGGCAUUANGUUGUCGYGCACGGGAUGCCCAUCAUUUACUGUGAAAAAAUUAUAGUGUUCAAA